rnacentral:rRNA from 1 species
UACGUAGGGGGCAAGCGUUGUCCGGAUUUAUUGGGCGUAAAGCGCGCGUAGGCGGCGCGGUAUGUCGUGCGUGAAAUCUCCCGGCUUAACUGGGAGGGGCCGUGCGAAACUGCCGGGCUUGAGGUCGGAAGGGGAAAGUGGAAUUCCGGGUGUAGUGGUGGAAUACGUAGAUAUCCGGAGGAACACCAGCGGCGAAGGCGGCUUUCUGGGCCGAUACUGACACUGAGGAGCGAAAGCGUGGGGAGCGAACAGG